rnacentral:lncRNA from 1 species
GGUUCGGGUUCGGUUCGGAUAAUACCCAUAACCCAAAAUACCAAAAAACAGGAUCCAUUCGGUAUUUAUGUCGGGUUCGGAUCGGUUCGGAUUAAUUUUUAUCGGAUCGGGUUCGGUUCGGAUUUUCAGGUUCGGUUUAUUUGCCCAGCCCUAGUUUUGUAUAACAAAUGAUAACUAAUUAAUCACUUGUUUAGUGGGUCUCAAUCUUUUUUUGGUAAACAAUGGGUCUCGAUCUUUUUUUAAAAAUAAUGAAAAAUGGGUCUUAAUCCUUAAUCCCACU